rnacentral:rRNA from 1 species
UACGUAGGGUGCGAGCGUUGUCCGGAAUUAUUGGGCGUAGAGAGCUCGUAGGCGGCUUGUCGCGUCGGUUGUGAAAGCCCGGGGCUUAACCCCGGGUCUGCAGUCGAUACGGGCAGGCUAGAGUUCGGUAGGGGAGAUCGGAAUUCCUGGUGUAGCGGUGAAAUGCGCAGAUAUCAGGAGGAACACCGGUGGCGAAGGCGGAUCUCUGGGCCGAUACUGACGCUGAGGAGCGAAAGCGUGGGGAGCGAACAGG